CCCUUAGAUGUUCUGGGCCGCACGCGCGCUACACUGAUGCAUUCAACGAGCCUAUCCUUGACCGACAGGUCCGGGUAAUCUUUGAAUCUGCAUCGUGACGGGGAUAGAUUAUUGCAAUUAUUAAUCUUCAACGAGGAAUGCCUAGUAGGCGCAAGUCAUCAGCUUGCGUCGAUUACGUCCCUGCCCUUUGUACACACCGCCCGUCGCUCCUACCGAUUGGGUGUGCUGGUGAAAUGUUCGGAUCGGCCGUUUGUCGCGGUUUCCGCGUCAUGUGGCUGAGAAUUUCAUUAAACCCUCCCACCGAGAGGAAGGAGAAGUCGUAACA
rnacentral:rRNA from 1 species